CCUACGGGUGGCUGCAGUGGGGAAUAUUGGACAAUGGGGGCAACCCUGAUCCAGCCAUGCCGCGUGUGUGAAGAAGGCCCUCGGGUUGUAAAGCACUUUCAGUGAGGAAGAACGCCUGGUGGUUAAUACCCAUCAGGAAAGACAUCACUCACAGAAGAAGCACCGGCUAACUCCGUGCCAGCAGCCGCGGUAAUACGGAGGGUGCGACCGUUAAUCGGAAUUACUGGGCGUAAAGCGCGCGUAGGUGGCUUGAUAAGCCGGUUGUGAAAGCCCCGGGCUCAACCUGGGAACGGCAUCCGGAACUGUCAAGCUAGAGUGCAGGAGAGGAAGGUAGAAUUCCCGGUGUAGCGGUGAAAUGCGUAGAGAUCGGGAGGAAUACCAGUGGCGAAGGCGGCCUUCUGGACUGACACUGACACUGAGGUGCGAAAGCGUGGGUAGCAAACAGGAUUAGAUACCCUGGUAGUC
rnacentral:rRNA from 1 species